rnacentral:rRNA from 1 species
GAUGAACGCUGGCGGCGUGCUUAACACAUGCAAGUCGAACGAGAAAUGUAGACGGAAACCUUCGGGCGGAAGCCUUCAUUUCGAGUGGCGGACGGGUGAGUAACGCGUGGGUAACCUGCCUCAUACAGGGGGAUAACAGUUGGAAACGACUGUUAAUACCGCAUAAGACCACAGCAUCGCAUGAUGCGGGGGUAAAAACUCCGGUGGUAUGAGAUGGACCCGCGUUCGAUUAGCCAGUUGGCGGGGUAACGGCCCACCAAAGCGACGAUCGAUAGCCGAUCUGAGAGGAUGACCGGCCACAUUGGGACUGAGACACGGCCCAAACUCCUACGGGAGGCAGCAGUGGGGAAUAUUGCACAAUGGGGGAAACCCUGAUGCAGCGACGCCGCGUGAGUGAAGAAGUACUUCGGUAUGUAAAGCUCGAUCAGCAGGGAAGAAAAUGACGGUACCUGAGUAAGAAGCCCCGGCUAACUACGUG